CGUCACUUUCACUUUCACUUUUUGGAGGCGUCCGUGCCAGCUACGUUCUUGAAGGAAAUGCUUAAAAGGCAUUUAAACUUCAAAUUUACUUGUACAGUAAAGAGUUCCUCAAAUCCUGCAGUGGAGGGCCAAAACCCACUGCAGAGUUCAGCUCCAACCCUGAUCAGCUCACCUACAGUACCUGUGGAUUUCUAAUGCUCUUGAAGACAUUGAUUAGCAUGCUCAGGGUUAGCAUCAUCUGAGGUCCUCUGAGGGAUUGGCAGCAUGUCUUCAGGGGCGAUGCACAAGAUCCAGGGCCCUAUGCAUAGGCAGUCCAAAUGCCAAAUUUGGCCAAAAAUUGGCCAAAUUUUGCCAAAAAUUGUGACCUUAGGGAGCGUGAUGGAUUGUAGCAUGGUAUAAGGCUAGUUAGGUAUGCAGGAGAUAAACCAUUUAGGGCCUGAUUGGUAAGUCAUAAUAAUUUGUAACUGAUUGGGGAAAUUAAUAGAUAGCCAAUGCAGAGACUGUAAAAUUUGGGUAAUAUGAUCAUAUUUUCUUGAACUGGUAAUGACUCUAGCCACUGCAUUUUGGACUACCUGUAGCUUGUUAAUUGAAGAUGCUGAACAACCACCAAGAAGUGCAAGAAGUGUCUAGAGGUCAUGAAUGCAUGAACUAGCUUUUCUGUAUCAAAAACAGGUAACAUGUUUUUGUAACAUGGGAGAUAUGGUUUUCAAAAAGUUGCAGUCUAAUAUCAAGUCAAGUCAAGUCACCUUUAUUUAUAUUGCGUUUUAAACUAAAUACAUUGUGUCAAAGCAACUGAACAACAUUAAUUAGGAAAACGGUGUCAAUAAUACAAAAUGACAGUUAAAGGCAGUUCACCAUUGAAUUCAGUGAUGUCAUCUCAGUCACCCGCAUCUCA